AUGGCAAGCCACGUCUGCGCUGGAGCCCGGGGGGCCCGGGAAGGCGAAGGUAGAAUUAGAAGAUCAUGUGACGUUCGAGUAGGAGGGUUUAUCUUGGUGACUUUAGGAUGCUGGUUCCAUUGUAGGUAUAAUUAUGCAAAGCUAAGAAUCCAGGAAAGACUUGCCAGAGAAGGAAUUAAAAACAAGAUUUUAUAUGAAAGUACCCACCUUGAUCCUGAAAGAAAACAAACCAACAGUGGCAGCAGCAGCAAUUGAGCAGUCUUGAGCACAGAAAACCCAGACACAACUCACUUAGGUGUGGACAAAGCUGAGAUCAACUAUAGAAAGCAUUUUAUAUACCAUAAGGCUUUCAGUCAAGUAAAU